GUGGAUAUAGUUUAACAAAAACCUUAGAUUGUGACUCUAAAAAUAGGAAAUGCCCUCCCUUAUUCACC
rnacentral:tRNA from 1 species